GAUGAACGCUAGCGGCAGGCCUAAUACAUGCAAGUCGAGGGGUAGAGAGAGCUUGCUCUCUUGAGACCGGCGCACGGGUGCGUAACGCGUAUGCAACCUACCUUUAUCUGGGGGAUAGCCCGAAGAAAUUCGGAUUAACAACGCAUAAAAUCACAGAACGGCAUCCUUCAAAGAUCAAAUAUUCAUAGGAUAGAGAUGGGCAUGCGUGCCAUUAGUUAGUGGGCGGGGUAACGGCCCACCAAGACCGCGAUGGCUAGGGGAUCUGAGAGGAUGGCCCCCCACACUGGUACUGAGACACGGACCAGACUCCUACGGGAGGCAGCAGUAAGGAAUAUGGGUCAAUGGAGGCAACUCUGAACCAGCCAUGCCGCGUGCAGGAAGACAGCCCUCUGGGUCGUAAACUGCUUUUAUUCGGGAAUAACCCUGCUUACGUGUAAGUAGCUGAAUGUACCGAAGGAAUAAGGAUCGGCUAACUCCGUGCCAGCAGCCGCAGUAAGAC
rnacentral:rRNA from 1 species